rnacentral:rRNA from 1 species
GUUCGGUAUGUCAGGUGUGAAAGCCCGGAGCUCAACUCCGGAAUUGCGCAUGAAACUACCGUACUUGAGGCCUGGAGAGGAGACUGGAAUUCAUGGUUAANCGGUGAAAUGCGUAGAUAUCAGGAGGAACACCGAUGGCGAAGGCAGCUCUCUGGACAGGUUCUGACGCUGAGAUACGAAAGCGUGGGUAGCGAAAGGGAUUAGAUACCCCUGUAGUCCACGCCGUAAACUUUGUACACUAGCUUUUGGAGGGCCUACCCCUUCGGAGCUCAAGCUAACGCGUUAAGUGUACCGCUCGAGGACUGCGCCCUCAAGGCUAAAACUCAAAGGAAUUGACGGGGGCCCGCACAAGCGGUGGAGCAUGUGGCUUAAUUCGAUGCAACGCGAAGAACCUUACCUAGGCUUGACAUGAAUCGGACGAUUUCCGGAGUCGGAUUUCUCCCUUCGGGACUGAUUUACAGGUGAUGCAUGCCAGUCGUCAGCUCGUGUCGUGAGAUGUUUGAUUAAGUCCAGCAACGAGCGCAACCCAUGUUCCUAGUUGCCAGCGCGUAUUGGAGGGGACUCUAGGAAGACAUAUCCGUUGUACGGAUGUGAAGUUGGGGAAUACGUCAAGUCACUAUGGCCCUUACGCGUAGGACGGUACACGAGCUACUAUGCUCGGUACAAUGGGACGCAAGUCUGCGAGGUGGAACAUAUUCAUCAAGACGGUCCCAGUUCGGAUUGGAGUCUGCUACUCGACUCCAUGAAGCGGGAAUCUCUAGUAAUAGCGUAUCAGCAAUCACGCCGUGAAUACGUUCUCGGGCCUUGACACACCGCCCGUCACAUC